rnacentral:rRNA from 1 species
CAAAAGUCCAAUCCCUCCGAGGUGUAUCCCGAGUAGUGCGGGGCACGUGAAACCCCGUAUGAAUCCAGCAGGACCAUCUGCUAAGGCUAAAUACUCCCUAGCGACCGAUAGUGAAACAGUACCGUGAGGGAAAGGUGAAAAGCACCCCGGAAGGGGAGUGAAAUAGAACCUGAAACCGUGUGCUUACAAAAAGUCAGAGCCCGAUCUAUGGGUGAUGGCGUGCCUUUUGUAGAAUGAACCGGCGAGUUACGUUCCCAUGCAAGGUUAAGCUGAGAAGGCGGAGCCGCAGCGAAAGCGAGUCUGAAUAGGGCGAUUUGAGUAUGUGGACGUAGACCCGAAACCGUGUGAUCUACCCCUGUCCAGGGUGAAGGUGCGGUAACACGCACUGGAGGCCCGAACCCACGCAUGUUGAAAAAUGCGGGGAUGAGGUGGGGGUAGCGGAGAAAUUCCAAUCGAACUCGGAGAUAGCUGGUUCUCCCCGAAAUAGCUUUAGGGCUAGCCUCGGAAUGAAGAGUCGUGGAGGUAGAGCACUGAUUGGGUGCGGGGCCCGCAAGGGUUACCAAACUCAGUCAAACUCCGAAUGCCAUGUACUUAUGUCCGGGAGUCAGACAGUGAGUGCUAAGAUCCAUUGUCGAAAGGGAAACAGCCCAGACCAUCAGCUAAGGUCCCAAAGUGUGUGUUAAGUGGAAAA